AGUGGGCGGGGUUUGAAAAGCUGUGUUCCGGGAGAAGAUCAAAUUGAUUUUCAUACUGCAGUUUCUUUGAUCAAGAGAAAACAAAAUAUAGAUUUUUGCGAGAGUAAUCAGUAUGUAGAGGAUAGGCUUACUUCAAUGUAGAAUAUGUCAAUAAUGUCAAACAAACACUUUGACAGGAGUGUGAGAUAAGCUUUAUAGAGCUGAUGCUAUAUUUUCUUAAAAAGUGGACUGCAAUUUACUGCAACUGAAAAGAUUGUGUUUAUGAUUUGGAACUUUAUGAGACGGAUAUGGCCGUUGGUCAUAAGGUGUUAGUUUUGUUACUGACGGUAAUAUGCUGUGUUGGAGAGUGCAAGAAGAGAAAUGUUCUUCUUAUUAUCGCGGACGACGCAGGCUUCGAGACGUCGGUCUAUAACAACACCGUGGUCCGUACGCCUCACCUAGCCGCCCUGGGUCGACGUAGCCUGGUGUUCCAGAAUGCCUUCACCUCCGUUAGUAGCUGUUCUCCCAGCCGAUCCACCAUACUGACAGGCCUGCCGCAGCAUCAGAAUGGUAUGUACGGCCUGCACCAGGGAGUCCAUCACUUCAACUCGUUUGACGGAGUACAAAGCCUACCUCUACUGCUGGGCCAAGCUAACAUACGCACAGGGAUAAUUGGGAAGAAACACGUAGGCCCUGGCCCUGUCUAUCCCUUUGACUUCGCCUACACAGAGGAAAACAACUCUGUACUUCAGGUGGGUCGGAAUAUCACCCGGAUCAAACUACUGGUCAGGAAGUUCUUCCAGACCCAGAGAAAGGAAGAGGAAGAGAGACCGUUCUUCUUGUAUGUAGCGUUCCAUGACACCCACCGCUGUGGACAUUCCCAACCGCAGUACGGAUCAUUCUGUGAGAAGUUUGGGAACGGCCAGAGUGGAAUGGGGAGGAUUCCAGAUUGGAAGCCAGAAUACUACACCCCAGACCAAGUCAAGGUGCCCCACUUCAUCCCAGACACCCCUGUAGCGAGAGCUGAUUUGGCUGCCCAGUACACUACAGUUAGCAGACUGGACCAGGGUAUUGGUCUGGUGCUGGCUGAGUUGAGGGAGGCUGGUUAUGAGAACGACACCUUGGUGAUCUACAGCUCUGAUAACGGUAUCCCUUUCCCCAACGGACGCACCAACCUGUACGGAUCAGGCACCGCAGAACCCAUGUUGGUGUCAUCACCUGAACACAGGGAGAGAUGGGGAGGGACCAGCCAGGCCUACGUCAGUCUACUGGGUGAGAGGGAGGGAGAGAGGGGGAGCAAGAGGGAGGGACCAGCCAGGCCUACGUCAGUCUACUGGACAUCACCCCCACCUUACUGGACUGGUUCUCCAUACCGUACCCCUCAUACUGCCUCCCGGGCACCCCUACCACCCCUGUCAGCCUCACAGGCCGCUCCCUCCUCCCUGCCCUCAUCGCUGAACCCUCACCCGCCGCCUGGCACACCGUCUACGCCAGCCAGUCCCUCCAUGAGGUGACCAUGUACUACCCUAUCCGCUCCAUCCACCAGGGAGCGUACCGCCUGCUCCACAACCUCCACUACCGCAUGCCCUUCCCCAUAGACCAGGACUUCUAUGUCUCUCCCACCUUCCAGGACCUGCUGAAUAACACCCUGGCCGGACGGCCCACAGGCUGGUUCAAGACCCUGCAACAAUACUACUACAGGGACCGCUGGGAGCUUUUUGACUUGCGGUCGGACCCAGAGGAGACUGUGAACCUGGCUGGGGACCCGGCUCUCGCCCCGGUCCUGGAGAGCCUCAGACACAGGCUGCUGAAGUGGCAGUGGGAAACUGGGGAUCCUUGGGUCUGUGGACCAGACGCUGUGCUGGAGGACAAACUGGAACCACACUGUCGACCACUCUACAACGGAGUCUGACCGCAACUAGACCACAACUGGACCAUGAUUGAUCCACAAUCAAUCAUAUUUAUUUUAUAAAGCCCUUUUAACAUCAGCAGUAGUCACAAUGUGCUUCACAGUUAGCUGGCCUGAACCUCCACAGAGCAAUCAAUGCAGAAGAAGAAUCACAGUGUCCAGGAACAUCUCCCUAGAAAGAAGGAAUCUAGGAAGUAAGAUGGAGAGGAAUCCGGCUCCUGCGAUGGCCCAUCCUUUUGUGGCUGUAACAGGUAGAGGUUAAGAGUACAUGUGGCCAUUAAGAGUACAUGUGGCCAUUAAAGAGGUACUUGGGGAUUUUGUGUAGCCACAACUGUCUUUAUUUUAAUGUGAGUUAUAACCCAUGAGUUAUGACUAUAGGGCCAGGAGUUUUGACCAGAAACCACCUCGUGACCUGAACAGGAAGAACUAUGGGUUAUGAUUAUGAUGACCAUUUAUGGCUGAAAAACAAAAAACAAAUGUGGUAUAGCUUCAGUGCAAAUGUACUGGGUUUCAUACAAUGUAUGUUUUGUAUGAUUUCAGUUUGACAACAUCUAGAUGUUGAGAUUUUAUGUAUUUUGUAAAAUAAAGUAUUUUCUUGCUUC